rnacentral:tRNA from 7 species
GCCUAGGUAGCUCAGUUAGUUCAGAGCAUUCGCCUGAAGAGCGAAGGGUCGACAGUGCAAUUCUGUCCCUAGGCACCA